rnacentral:pre_miRNA from 1 species
AAAAUACUCCCUCCGUCGCAAAAUUCUUGUCUUACAUUUGUCUAGAUACGGAUGUAUUUAACACUAAAAUGUAACUAGAUACAUUUGUAUUUAGACAAAUCGAAGACAAGAAUUUUGGGACGGUGGGAGUAUUUG